GGGCCAAUAGCUCAACUGGUAGAGCAGCGGUCUCCAAAACCGCAGGUUGGGGGUUCGAGUCCCUCUUGGCUCG
rnacentral:tRNA from 1 species